GCAGUCGAACGAUGAUGCCCAGCUUGCUGGGUGGAUUAGUGGCGAACGGGUGAGUAACACGUGAGUAACCUGCCCCUGACUCUGGGAUAAGCGUUGGAAACGACGUCUAAUACUGGAUAUGAUCACUGGCCGCAUGGUCUGGUGGUGGAAAGAUUUUUUGGUUGGGGAUGGACUCGCGGCCUAUCAGCUUGUUGGUGAGGUAAUGGCUCACCAAGGCGACGACGGGUAGCCGGCCUGAGAGGGUGACCGGCCACACUGGGACUGAGACACGGCCCAGACUCCUACGGGAGGCAGCAGUGGGGAAUAUUGCACAAUGGGCGAAAGCCUGAUGCAGCAACGCCGCGUGAGGGAUGACGGCCUUCGGGUUGUAAACCUCUUUUAGUAGGGAAGAAGCGAAAGUGACGGUACCUGCAGAAAAAGCACCGGCUAACUACGUGCCAGCAGCCGCGGUAAUACGUAGGGUGCAAGCGUUGUCCGGAAUUAUUGGGCGUAAAGAGCUCGUAGGCGGUUUGUCGCGUCUGCUGUGAAAUCCCGAGGCUCAACCUCGGGCUUGCAGUGGGUACGGGCAGACUAGAGUGCGGUAGGGGAGAUUGGAAUUCCUGGUGUAGCGGUGGAAUGCGCAGAUAUCAGGAGGAACACCGAUGGCGAAGGCAGAUCUCUGGGCCGUAACUGACGCUGAGGAGCGAAAGCAUGGGGAGCGAACAGGAUUAGAUACCCUGGUAGUCCAUGCCGUAAACGUUGGGCGCUAGAUGUAGGGACCUUUCCACGGUUUCUGUGUCGUAGCUAACGCAUUAAGCGCCCCGCCUGGGGAGUACGGCCGCAAGGCUAAAACUCAAAGGAAUUGACGGGGGCCCGCACAAGCGGCGGAGCAUGCGGAUUAAUUCGAUGCAACGCGAAGAACCUUACCAAGGCUUGACAUACACCGGAAACGGCCAGAGAUGGUCGCCCCCUUGUGGUCGGUGUACAGGUGGUGCAUGGUUGUCGUCAGCUCGUGUCGUGAGAUGUUGGGUUAAGUCCCGCAACGAGCGCAACCCUCGUUCUAUGUUGCCAGCGGGUUAUGCCGGGGACUCAUAGGAGACUGCCGGGGUCAACUCGGAGGAAGGUGGGGAUGACGUCAAAUCAUCAUGCCCCUUAUGUCUUGGGCUUCACGCAUGCUACAAUGGCCGGUACAAAGGGCUGCGAUACCGUAAGGUGGAGCGAAUCCCAAAAAGCCGGUCUCAGUUCGGAUUGAGGUCUGCAACUCGACCUCAUGAAGUCGGAGUCGCUAGUAAUCGCAGAUCAGCAACGCUGCGGUGAAUACGUUCCCGGGCCUUGUACACACCGCCCGUCAAGUCAUGAAAGUCGGUAACACCCGAAGCCGGUGGCCUAACCCU
rnacentral:rRNA from 1 species